GCUGUGGGUGGAUCUCUGCAUCCCCCAUGGAUCCCCCUGGGCUGUGGGUGGAUCUCUGCAUCCCCCGUGGAUCCCCCUGGGCUGCAGGGGCUCAGCUGCUUCACCGUGGUCAUCACCAGGCCCUGCAGAGGAAUCUCAGCUCCAGUGCCUGGAGCACCUCCUGCCCCUCCUUCUCCCUGACCUUGGUGUCUCCAUGGUGUUUCCCUCACAUGUUCUCACCUCCUCCUCUUCUCUGUCUAGAAAACACCUGCAUGUGCCCCCAUGUUUUGAUUUUCCCGAAUCUGUCAUCACAGAGGCGUUGCCAGCCUCUCUCAUUGGCCCGGCCUUGGCCAGCAGCCUGUCCAUCUUCAGAGCCCUCAGAGAUUGGCUCUGCUGGACAUGGUGAAAGUUUCCAGCAGCUCCUCACAGGAGCCACCUCUGUGGUGCCACCCCCUACCAACAACCAGGCCAAGCAAAACCAGCACAGACCAUCAAGUCCAACCAUUAGGACAGCACUACCAAGGCCACCACCAAGCCAUGCCCAAGGGCCAAAUCUACACAUGUUUUAAAUCCCUCCAGGAAUGGGGACUCCACCACUGCCCUGGGCUUGACAAUGCUUGCUGUUCAAUGCUUGACAACACUUUAGGCAGAGAAAUAAUCACAAAUAUCCAAUCUAAACCUCCCUGGGCACAACUGGAGGUCAUUUCCUUUCAUCCUGUCACUUGUUACCUGGCAGAAGAGCCCAACUGCCACCUGGCUACGACCUCCACUCAGGCAGUUCUGGAGAGGGAUAAGGUCCCCCUGAGACUCCUUUUCUCCAGGCUGAGCCCCACAGCUGCUUCUCUUUGGACUUGUGCUCCAAACCCUUCCCCAGCUCCGUGGCCCUUCUCUGCCUUGCUCCACUUCCCACACACCCCAGGGGAGGCAGGAAAAAGAUUAAGGUCUGUCCAGGGUAAAUGGCUGCAAGGUGGUGAAAGAAAGUCUUCAAGUGGGUCAGCUUGAGGGUACUGUCCCCAGGGCACAGUAAUCGGUGGGGAUGGGCAGAUCAGUCCCACCAGGAAUCAUUUGACAUUCAUAUUUUGUCAGGCUGGGCUCCAUCUUGUGGGUGUCUGUCUGUCUGUCCAGCCCAUAGACAUCUGUCCUGCUUUCCAUGCCCUGGAGCCUGGAUGUGAAUACUCCCACCACCUUGGCAUAGGCCCCUGCUGGCUGGAGAGGAAGACCACUGUAUUCUGGGCUUGUGACAGAAGUCUGUAAAGGUUUUGUGACCUUUCUUCAUGGUUCAGGAAGGGGAAAGAAAAAAAGUGGAAUUUUUUUUUUAUGCUUUGUUCUUGCUCUGGGGUUCUGCAGCCCUUCAGGCACCUGAGAAAAUGUUUGUUGUGAUGAACUGCUCACUCUGCAUUGCUGUGGUCAGACUGAAGUUGUUUGUGCUGGGUCACUGAUGAAAAAUAGAUAUUUGCAUUUCUGUUCCAGCCUGUGUUCAAAGCACCAGGCGUGAGCGAUGGCACUCAGUGAGUGAUUACCUUUCAUUGCUUGGCCUGUGACUCCUGUCUGUCUGCUGCUUUGAUGCCAGAUCUCCAAAAAGGCCCAGAACUCACCUGGGGAUGGGUUUUUAAAUGUGCAUCAUCUAAUUCAAGUACAAAGCAGAUGAAGUCUUAUAAAUGUGAUCAGUCUCUCGGGUGCUGAAGUUAAAGCACUAUCUCUUUGUAAAUCCCAACACCUGUUAAUCUUCAGUCAGAGCUGCUGGCUGCUGGGUUUUCCCCCAAUUUAUUUAUUUUUAAUAUCUAGCUGCUAGUUUGGCAGCACUUCACUCUUCAAUGCCAGGGGGAAAACCUGUGCAGCCUUGCUGGCAAGAAUGUCUGGGGAGAGCAUUGUGAUUUGUGUGUGUGCACGAGCAGUGACAGAAAUGAAGUGUAAAUAAGGGUUUGGGCUGUGUAAAUCUGUGCUGCUGGAGGUGCUGCUGGGUGGAAAAUCCCUGUGUCCCAGGGGGAGGAGGCAGCAGGAGCCUGGAUGAGGAAGGAAGAAGUGAACACACGACUUUCCCCCUGUCCCAGGUGAGACCUUGGCACUUUGCUCUUGUGGGGUUUGUGCUGCCCCGUGGCUGAGCCCGUGGUGAUCCCACUGCGGGUGCUCCAGGACAUGCUCCCUGGCUGUGCUUGGUGCCCCUGGCAGGGAGGGUUUCAGCAAGGUGGGGUCAGUGAGUUAAGCCUGGAUGGGGCCCCAGAGCGAUGGGCAGCACUGCUGGGACAGUUCUGUAGUCCCCUGAAAUGGACUUUGUUUGCUGGCACUGGGGAAGGUGCUGAAAUUGCCCCAAGGAGCCCGGCAGUAGGAGCCCCUCUCGUCAGGAAAUGCACCUAAACCUCCUUGCAGCUCACACUCAGCAGGCACUGGUGGAAGGGUGGGCUCCUGCCCACGCCCAGCUCCCUCAAUAGCUGUGUCUGGGGAGAAACAGUUUUUAAUCCAGAAGAAAUUUUGCUUAGGGAAGAAAGGAGACCAAUUGCAAAAAGGAGAGGUGAGGUGCUGGGCAGAGGUUUGGCCUCUGCCUCUGAGGGUGGUUUCCAGACAAAAGGCAUAUUUAUAGAACAGUCCAGAAACAGCAGUGUGAUCUAUCUGCAAGACACUUGUUCCCUGCCAAGACAUUUGGAGGGGCUUAGCCAUUUAAAAUAUUUUAAGCACAGAGAAACAUCAGCUGUCAUCAAAGCCUGCAUGGAAGAGCAAGAAGUGUCUGGGAGCAGUGGCAGCAGCAGCUCUGAGCCCUCUGCCCAGAACUGCACACCAGCCAUGCUGUAUUUGCAAGCAAUGAGGUCUCAUAUUAGCAUCUUUAACUUAUUUAUGUUUGCAGUGCAAGUAUCAUGGAGGGAAAAACAGUUAAACUUCUCCUAAUCCCUUUAUUUGUUCCCCCUCCUGCUCAAGCUUGGCUUUCCCAAGGAAGCUGCAGCUCAGCCCUUUCCUACUCCCCUUUCACAGAAGGGGACAGAGGAGGGCAAAUCCCACACCCAGAUGAAAAAAAGAAAUCCAAAGGGAGAUGCUCAGAGGCCUGGAGCUCUCCCCUAUGGAGACACACUGAGAGGGGGGGCUCUUCAGCCUGGAGAAGAGCAGGCUCCACUAUAGCACCUUCUGCCUGGAGAGGGGCUUCUGACAAGAGCCUGCAGAACAAGGGGGAGUGGCCUUACAUUGCCAGAGGGUGGCUCUAGGUGAGGUACUAGGAAGCAAUUCUUCCCUGUGAGGAUGGUGAGGCACUGGAACAGGUUGCCCAGAGAAGCUGUUGCUGCCCCAUCCCUGGAAGCAUUCCAGUUGGAUGGGACCCUGAGGAUCCUGGCCUGAAGGAAGACAUCCCUGCCCAUAGCAGGGGUUUGGAACAGGAUGAUCUUCGAGGUGCCUCCAGCCCAAACCAUGCUGUGAUUUUAUGUUUUGCCUUGAACUAAGAGCCUGCAGGGCCCCAGGGCCCUUCCAGCCACACGCAGCCACCAAGAACAUACACAGGGCUGCUCCCUCUGUGCUUUGGGUCACUUGUAGAUGCUGGUGGAUGCUGGAGAGGAAAGAGGAGCACCAUCUGCUUCCCUCUUGAAUGAAGUCAUGGUUUGGUGGAACUGGAGCCUUGGCAGCACUUAGGUAAAUAAGUCAAAAAGCUGGAAUAGAGGGGCUGGACAAGAAGGCAGCUCUGCUGGAGACAACACCCAGUGUUUGGCCUUUUGGGCCCCUUUGGGUGCUGCUGAGUCCUGGGGGGCCUUUGUGCAGCCCAGAGGGGAGGACCACUCCGUGGUGUCCUAUGGAUCAGUGUAACACAGACACCCGUGGCAAAGGAAAUCAUUGGUUUCAAGAAGCUCAGUCCAGACUGGAAAAUGUGAGUGUUACGAUGAGUUUUGUUCGCUGUUGCAUUGAUUUGUCCCAUACCAGCCCUGCUCUGUGAAGGGGGGUGUGACAGUCCCCACGGGGCCCCUUACAGGGGCAGAUCAGUGCUGCACACCCUUGGGGAGUGACUUAUCUGUGCAAUCCACUGUCUGAAGGACAGCUGGCUUUGCCAGUAUUUCUGGCUGUAUGUUCUUUUCUGAUCAAAAGGGAAAAGGAGCUUCAUCCGCCCUUCCCAGGAGUGGCCAGUGCAAAUUUCAUGUGCUAUAUGUAAUUUGAGGGCUGGCAGUGGAGAUUUGGAAGCUAUUAAAUUACUGUACUUAACCAUGAUUUAAAAGUAACUCUGUUCACUUCCCACAGGUGAGGGUUGGACCUUUUCCUUCCCUCUGGAGCAUGUCUGAGGUUCAGGCAGGUGGAGGAGGGUGCUGCUCCCUGCAGCUGCCAAGAGACAAUGAAAUGAAAUGGAAAUUAGGGUUUCCUCAAUCAGAGUAGGGACUCAGCUUUGCUUUCCUGCAGGAGAGGGGCAAUCUGUUCUUGAGGGGAAGAAAAAGCCACAAAAUCUACUCUGUAGGAUACAGGUGGAAGCAUUGUUUCCCUAUACACAGCAGGACCAAGGCCCUUCUGUUGCCUGUCUUGACUGCUCUUGGCUUAUCCCAUGGAAAAUCCCCAGUGUCUUGCUCAUGUGACCUUGGGCUUCUCUAGGAAAAUACCAAUAAAUGCUGUUGGAAUGAAGCAGCAGCUGAAGCACGGCUCAGUUAAGACAGGUCCUUUCCACUCCUUAAACCAAACAACUCAUAAACCACAGCAAAAGUAAAACCUCUACAUGAGAAAGUUGGGCUUUCUAUAGUCUCUUUUAUUCAUUUGUUCAUGGUUCAUGUGUGAAAUGAAAAUCCCCACAUCACCACCUCCUAUCUGGUGUAACCAGCUUUUCCUUAUGGUAAUGCUUGCUGCUGCUGCUCUGCAAGGAACAGAGAUGCUCUGCCCUGUGUAAAUGUGGUAAAUGCAACCAUCUUUCAGCAGUUUGGUGUUUCAGGGGCUGGAAGUUUUGCUCCAUCACAUUUGUUGUGGUGUUUCACGUGCUCAUAGGAGAGGCAAAUGCCAGAAAUCAGACCCGAGCUAUAAAACUAAUUUUAAAAUGAUGAAUAAGUGAUAAUGAAUAAAUAAUCCUGACCCAAAGCAAGCUGUGCCCAUCUCACCCUGGGCACAUCCCUCUGUUUUGAGCCAGACUAAGCAGGCAUUACUGGGCUGCAUCCCAGGAAAGAGGCCAGCCUGAACCCUCCACGUCUGACCGAGUGGAGUCACUCUUGGCAUUCACAGGGAUGCUCCAGCAAGGCACGUGAUGGGGGAGCACUGAGGCAGGGCUGUGUGAGUGCUAGAGCUUCCAUCUGCCUUGUGAUGAGACCGGGAGAUGGGGUGAGAUGUGAGGUUCCAGUCACAUGUCAGGGUGGUAUUUCAGACCUCACCCUGUUUCCACCUCCAUGCCCCCAGGCUGCUGGAAGUGUCCCAGGCUGUGUGGCCCCGCUCUGCCUGCGGUGGCUGUGACCCCUCCUUCUCCCUUGAGCACCCCUACACAGGGUCAGUCAUGGCCAAGGCUUUAUUUCAGCUCUGACAGGGCUGCUGUACUUGUGCCUCUGUCUGGAAGGCAGAAAUACAGACAGGGAUGUUACCCCAGCUCCUUUCUCCAGCUUUUGGCCUGGGUCAGGCAAGGCCAGGGGUGGGUAUUCAGCCAGAGUCAAGGCUGAGCCAGGGCUCCAUUGUAAAGCCUGUGUCCCCUCAUCUCCUCUUUAUGUCCAGGCUGCUGAGGUUGGAAAUAUUUUCAGUCUAUAAAAUAUUUUGAUGAGUCCAAUCAAUAAAACAUUAUAAAAAGCAGUUUAAAAUGGAGGAGAGAUCCAUUGGCUGUAAAGCACCACUGCUAUGUGCAGGCUCUCCAGACACAGAGCACGAAUUGCUGGUGGUUUUGAAAAUCCACCUUUCCCAUGGGGUGAGGAAGAGGAGCAUCUCCUGGGAACAGGAGCAGCUGCUGGGAUGGGCUCUGGUGGCAGCAGUGAGGCAUCCAGGCUCUCUUCUAAGAACCACAUCCACUGGCAGAACUUCCUGCUCAUGGGUCCAGAACAGAUUGUAUAGAGGCUCAUGGUGCCCAAAGCAUCCCUGUGCUUCAGCACCUUCCUGCUGGGGGUGGCAGGGUGGUGCAGAGCUGUUGCUGGGGGUCAGAGGGGCUGCUCGGACACGAGGGAGAGGUGCUGGGGUGUCAGGGCAGCAGCAGGGAGUGUGCUGCCAGCCGAGUGUCUGAGUGCCAGCAGGGCCAGCCUGGUGCCACUGUGGGUGCUGAGAGCUGCAGGUAACCCAGGGGGUGUUCCAUGGCAAAAGCGUGAAGCUAUUCAGGACCAGGCCAACCUUUCCAUCCUUUUAAUCUGGAGGAAGUGGUAAAAAAACCUUAGAGGCCCAAAGCAGGGAAGAUCAGGGUGCUUUGCAGAGCCUGUGUGAUCACUAAAGCUACAUACAUUGUUUUUAUUUUAACUAAAGCUCAGGAAAUGUAAACUGUGAUGGGUCUGCAAGGAGGAAGCUGUACCACAGAUCGCUUCCUUGGCAAGGGCAAUUAUAGGUAUUUGUGGUUUUUGUGUAGUCUGCAGCUGUCAGUGUGUGACCACUGGGCACUGGCUGUCCCUGUGCCCUGCUCACCAGUGGCAGCAGUGACGUGUGUGGUGCCAAGGAACAGGCACACAAAGGUUCAACCUCCCACCCAAAGGUUAAACCUCACCAUGUCGUCUGCUCUUGGAGGAUGCAGAGAAUUUAAUUCAGCAGCUCAAAGCCAGGUACCACACAAGCCAUGGGGAGAACUGGGUGAGAGGUGCUGGAGGGAGGGAGAUGGGAAGCUGAGGCUGUGGAUUUGCAGAUGCUGGAAUGGCAAAUGAACAGGUUAAACAGAAAACCAAGCAGCUGCUGUGCUGUACCUCAGCCUGGUGCUGGAGGCAUCACAGUGAGCAGCAGCUUGACUGUGGAGCCACUGACUGCACCCUCUGUUGUGUCCUGGGUCAGUCCAGCUCAGGAACUGCUGACUCCAGAGCAGUUCCCACACAUCCCUUGUUGUGUCAACCACUUCUGCUGUGACUGAUUUACUCAGGGACCAAAUUUUGUCCAGCAAACCAUCUGAACUUUGUGAAAGAUUAAUUCUUUCUUCCUUUUGAGGGUGGUGAGGCCCUGGCACAGGUUGCCCAGAGAAGCUGUGGCUGCCCCAUCCCUGGAAGUGUUCCAGUUGGAUGGGACCCUGAGGAUCCUGGCCUGAAGGAAGACAUCCCUGCCCAUAGCAGGGGUUUGGAACAGGAUGAUGUCUGAAGCCUGUGGUUCUAGGGUAAGAACUGAGGCUGAGUUCUCCCACCCCACUUGAGCCCUGGGUAAGAUGUGGGGCAGCUGCUGCCCUUGAGAGACGAACAGGGUUGGGCUGUGGGCUACCAGGAGUGGAGGAGAUGGCUUCUCUGUCUUCCUUUAUCCCCAGGGUCUUGUGCCAGGUGCCCAGUGCUGCUCAGACAGUAGCAGAGAGCCUGCAGAAGGCAGAACUGGAACCAGCCUUUAUUUCUGUGGGAAUCUCUGAAGUCUCUUGGCAGUGGGAAUGCCUUGCCUUGCUCAGCGCUCCCAGUGGAUUAAAGCUCCUGGUGUGAGAUGUGUGUAUUUAUGUUACCCUGGCAGAGCUAACAGUGCUUGGCUCUAUGGGAGCACUGUAAAUCUGAGCCUUUCCCUGUCAUCCACACUCUUGAUUUUAGAGCACUUGGUGGUACCUGGAGUAUUUAACAGCACCUGGCUCUGACUAAUGGUUACAGAAGCAUAUAAGAUAGAAAGAUUAGCAGCUCAGCUGUCUGAUUAAUAUGUAAAUGUACCCAGGUAUGUGUGAGGGCUCCUAAUGAAGUAGCUCACACUUCUGCCUCUGUAUAUCAAAGGUGAUUGAUGGGAAAGUACUUCAGGUGCCUGCUGGAAAGUGUAAAAGUUGUUUUUGUCUACAUCUUGCUUUCAAAAAAUAUCUGUAGACCUAAGGCUGAGAUUUCCUAAGGGAGGAAAACCAACCCAGUCUGAGUUUAAUCUCAACUAAUCCAAAUUGUUGGCCAUGCUCCUGCAGUAUCUGUAAAUUCUCAGAUAGGAAUAAUCCAUCAGGAUCUUGUAUAACAAUCCACACGGUGUCUUAAAUAAACCUUUUGGCUGUAGCCUGCAGCUGACACCUCCUGUAAAUUAUUUGAUGAUACUUUAUAUGAAAGGCUGGAGGCUGAAAUGAAUGUUGUGGAGAAGGCAGGAAGCCCCAGCCCCAUGGAAGAGGUUCCUGUGCUGCUGCUUCCACCUGGCUCACGUCACAUCACAGCCCCGGUCCCUGAGCCUUCUGCUGGGCAACCCUGGGCAGCUGCAUGGAUCAGGGGAACCAAAUGAAAAUCCUGAGGCAUCAAUGGACUUGUGGAAUGCAGGGGUUUCCCUGCUGGACAAGGAACACCAUCUGAGAUCUGAGCCCUGCACCCAGGGCAGGGGCUGUCACUCUCGGGGUGUCCCUGUCACCACGCUGAGCACUCUGUGUCCCUGGUAGGUUCCCUGAGAUCACCGUCCUGAGUCAUGCUGGGCUUUCAAUCCACCCCUACAAACCACUGUGUACAUUUCAAGAUCACUCUGCAAAAUAAAGCCCAUUCUGCUGAAACUGGUGGUGGAGUGGAAAUUUUGCAGUGGUAGUAAAACCUGGGGUGAUGCAGCCAGCAGAGCAGAGCGUGGAGCCUGCUCCAGGAUGGGGCUGUGAAGCGCUCGCUGCUGCGAGAUCUCUCACAGAUAAGGUGUGCUACAGCACCUGGCUGUCAGAGGAGUUCAAAACAUUCAAACCCUGUUACAGCUCUCUUUUGCUGCCUCUUUCUCACUCCUGCAGGUAUUUGGGGGGCUCAGAGCACACAUCCUCUUUCCACCUCCUCUCCAGGCUGUGGGGAACCCCAGCCUGUCCCCCUGGAGUCAGCCCUGGUCCAGCAGCUCUACCUGGAAUGUUUCUCAUGUUGCUCUCCCUUUCUCAGGGUGUCUCGGAGCUGGCUGAGACUGUAAUUGCUUUGUCUAAAAUUUUCCAUGCCUCUAGCCAGGCUUUUUUUUGGUGCUGAUUUUAAAUAGAGAAGGGAUUGGAGCAGUGUGAAGUUUCCUUACAAAAGGUAUUUGCUGAUGUUCUCUCUGUGAGCAGAAAUGUCAUCGCAGGUGGUGAGCAAGGGAAGAGGGAGUGAGUGACAGGGCGGAAAGGCAGCAGGUUGCACUGCCACCAGCAACCACACAAACCAUGGUGACACACUUUCCAUUCCCUGGUUUCAGCUCUGGGGAGGAGCAUUUGGGACACAGCUGCCCUUCAACACUCUUGCAGGAGAGCCCUGCAGAAGGUGUGAGGGCAGCAGGGUGACCCCGACCCAGCCAGGGCAGCCUGUGAGGAUGGCUGCCAGCCCCUGGCCACCCUCUGGGCAUUUCUCCAUAAAUAAACACUACUGCUGGCUCUGAAGGGUUUUUCUUACCAUCACAUUUAUUGGCAAUCAUUCACAUAAUUUUUCCCCUAGCUGCAGCAACCUGGGUGCACACUCUGGCAUUUUCAAGUUUCACUUCUUAUUUCCUUCCAGUUCCUCUGAUGCAGGAGAAUCACCUCCCUGUAAGCACGGGCUCAGAUAAUGGUUUAUUGUAUUCCUGAUGACAAAUUGGUUUAUGAUAAUUAUUAGGCUGAUGUUUGAAGCUUUCAGUGUAAAUCAAUGCAAUUAAAAAGAAAAUAAUACUCCAUAAUUCAUACAGAUAAAGAUAUUUGCUGAUGGCUAAUGUUUCAGAAGAAAGUUUUAUAUGAGAAUUGUUCAGUCCCUGUGACACCAGUGUCCAGCUCAUGAUGCUGAACUGGGACUGUAACUGGGACUGUUCUCUCUGUGUUUCAUGGCUGCCAUGUGUGUGGGUCCCCAGCACUGACCUGAAAUGCUGAGGGGCUGAGAGUUCCCUCCUCUGAUUCCUCAUGACAGCAGAAAGAGUCAGUGACUUCAGCAUCUUGUUCCAGACUUCCAUGAUCCUCCUGCUGUGAGUUCCCUGCUCUGCCUUCUCUUCCCAGCCUUCCAUGAAAGGUCAAGCAUCAAGCCCUGCGGCCUGGAAGUCAGGAGCCAGGCUGUGUUUGCAGGACAGGAACUGCAGCCCAGACAAGCAGGGAGCCAGAGAACAACUGAGAGAUUAUGGAGAAUUAAAGCUGCUUGUUCAGCACUGUAUCUUGAAAGAGCAUGGUGCAGCAUCACCCAACCAUGCUCUGCCUGGGCCAGAGCGACCUGAACCCAGCAGCUCUGCAGAACUGGGGCAGGUUCUUGUGGCUGCUGCAGAGUUUUGUUUCCUGGAGGUGCAGGGGCCCAGCAGGAGCUUUUGAAGACCUGCUCAUUUCCCAGUAAAACAAGCAAGAAUGCUCAUUCCGGAGCCAGGAUUUUUGACAUGUCAACUCUCAUAUCACAGAGUGGUUUUGCAAAAGUGAGAAUUUCAGCUUUCAUUUCAAAAGUCCACAAUUCCUACUCAAACUGUCAGAAACUGCAUGAAGAAAUUUUAAGUCAGGUUUAGGAUUUGAGAGCAAGUCAGAAUUUGCAAAUGGCUGUACAUGGCAAUGUGAAUUGAUAGACAUGGCUCUAAAAUUGCCAUUGGGGUAGGUUUUUUGAAGGCGUGCUGUAGCAACUCUGGAAGAUCUUCAAGCAGAGACCACAAGGAUCUUGGUGUAUUUUCUUGGUGUAGCGUUAAGGGCUGCAUUUUCCCCACCACACUCCACAGUCUGAAUCAAAACCAAAAUGCACGGAGGUCUCUAAUUCAAUCUUCAGAACUUACUAUUAUUUUUUAUUAGAUAGAAAAGUCAAAUCUACAAAUAGUCCCAUACCGUUAUUGGGUCCAUGCAAGCCACAAGGUGUUGGCAAAAAGCAAGAAGGGAAUUCUGCAGGUGCAAAACCCAAUUCAAAAGAUAAACUACCUCCGUGUCAUUGCUUUGCUCAUUUCCCAUCCCUAUGGGCAAAUACGAAUUUUUUCUGAACCUUUAAUCUACAACACUGAAUAAAGUUAUGUAAAUCUGGUGCAAUGAAGAAGGCUUUUAAGCUGUAGUAGGUAUAUCACGGUCCUCUCCCAUUCUGUGAAAUUGCUUUACAGCCAGGCCAUAAUCGCAAUGACAGACAUGCUUGAUUGAGUUUUGUCUCUCUGUUAAUCUAUGGAGUAAUUUUCAGGUGCAAAUGAAGAGCUGUGUGUAUCUGGGAAACUGGGGAUGCACUGAAAAAUAAUCCUUUUAAUACUGAGCAUGGAGAUUCCCUUGUGCUAUUAUAGGAGUGCAUUUUAGGAUUAGAGUAUUUGGAAGCUUCUCGUUAUAACUGUAAUUUAUUUUUAGUGGUUUUUCCCCAUAAAGUAAUAUUCGAUAUUAAAGAGCAUAUAUUUCAGGUGAUAGUGAAAAAGUGAAGAUUUAGGCAAGGUACUGUGAAUGCGAAUACGUGAGAGAUGGUGAAGAUGACUCAUUUCUCUAAUGCACAGGGUGAAAGCUUAACUGAAAGGGUGAACAGAUGAGAGGCAGAGCACAAGUCGUGUUUUAUUGUCAAAUCCUGAGAAAUGUCAUUUCAGACUCUCAGGGGAAUUCUGCUUGGCUCUCCUGUUAUAAGUACAAUUUGUACAUGAAAGAAACUGGUGAUGAGGGGACGGGUGGCCUUUCACAGGAGGAUGAGGAGAGCCACACGUUCCAGGCAGAGUGGACUUGCAAUGACAAUGGUACCAAAUUAGCCAGGAAGGCUGGCUGUGUCCUUUCCUGGUAAGGAUGAGCUGAGGAGAGCUACAUCAAAGUGGGGGAAGGUUAUCUUGAGUCUACAAUAACAGACUUGGUGGCACUCACCAGAUCCCGAAGCGGUGCAUGAGGUUUAAUCCACCUGGUGAAGACUGGAAGGGCUCUUUUUUUUUGCACAAGGGGGUGCACACUGCUGCUGGAACCUUGUGUGGCUGCAAUCAUCCUGUGCAGCCCUGGAGGUGAGAAGGAGAUAAAAGUUUCAGCCACUGUGAAAAGGAGAUAAAAGUUCUUGUUAUCUACAUAGCUCCUCUCAGAUAUCAAGAUGAUUAAGCACACGCAUUUGUAAAAUGUGUCCCAGCACCCCUUAUUAUUGAUGACAGGGAUGACUGGCAGCAAUGAGUCAAAGUGAAAAAUCAAAAGACAAGGUGAGGCAAUGGGGAGAUUGUGACUCCCAGUCACCAACACUGUGCCAUGGUUCUUGCUGAAGAACUGCUUCUCACCCAGAAGGAAGGACCCUGACAACAACCAGGCUGCAGAUGGGGCAAAGAGGUUCUUGUUGCUCCUUGUCUAAUCAUCACCAUAUGAGCUGUCCCCCUCUCCUGAGAAGGCUGUCCCUGGACAGGUGACAGUGUGGAGCAGUGCCAGAGCAGAUGUCAAGAGGCUGAAGCAAGGAGGGAGUCACUGGAGAGGACUUGGUCCUCCUUGCACAGACUCGUUUGAUUUUCCCGUUUCCCUUGGAGAAAGAAGAGGAAGAGUCGGCCAAAUGAAACAAAGAAUACCUUGACAUAUUGACUCAUUUCCAUGCCCAAACCUGUGUCCUCAGGCUCCUGGCUGACUCCUCUUAUCUGCAUCCAAUUAGAUGGUGAAUCUAAUGGGAUGGUGAAUACUGGGAGAUCUGAUCAUAUUUCUGUGAAAAUCAAUGGCAAGCCUUCCCUGGUGCCAGACCAGGCUUCUCUGAGGGAAAUGCUUCCUGUGAACUAGGAAAGUUGGUGGGAGGAAAAAACCCAACUUCUUAAAAAUCCUUUGUGGUGAUCAGCAUUUAAAUUCAGCUGUUCAGGGACUUUUGAUCCAAUGUAAGUGGAAAAUUGUAACCUUUGCUGACGAGCGUGAUCCUGCUCAGCGGGAGGUGGCAGGGUGCCCCGGAUCUCGUGGGCUCGGACCCAGAGGCAGGUUUGUUUUUAGGUCUCAUGUUGACUAAGUUCUCCUCUCUCAUUCAGAAAGGGCAGCGUUACUGUAAGGAGGGAUAUUGAGAUGAUCGUUGCCUUGGGCCCUUCAGAAGAAUUGCCACAUUUUACAUUAAGGGCAGCCUUCCUCACAUAGUACAUCUCUGCAAUUAAUUGUCUUGACACAUGAUUAGCACCUGGGGCAAGGACGGAUCGUUCUGUUGAUUGGGCAGGGAUGCAUUAUUAAUUGUAUAAACUGGCUUAUAGUCAAAGGACACAAACCAGUGGCUGCAGUUGCUGUCACCAUGGAUAUUUGAAAGAGCACUGGAGAUUUGUGUCAGGGCAAUGCUCCUUUGCCAUCCCAAUAUGAUUAAGAUUGUCUCACUGCAACUCCUAAGAAAUUAGUCUUUAAACCUGAUCCCCUGCAACACCAGGUCAGCUGGUAUUUCUGGUACCAUUGUCUCGUUUGUUUUCCCUCAUUGCCCAGACAUGGAAUGUGGCAGACAGAAGAAUGCAGGCAGCUUCUCCCCAGCUGACAGGGAGCAGUGUGGGGUUUUGUACCUAAAAAAGGAACUAGCUGACCUUGACUCAUUCUGAAAUGACGAGACGUCCCUUUUAGAGUUUUAAUACAAUUUUUUCUGCCAAGAAGUCAUUUUGAAAGGAAAUAAAUUCAUGAAGGAUGUUACAAAAUUUAGCAGAAGCAAAUGUCAAAAAACUCAAAAAUAAUAAUAAUGAUCAUAUAGUGUAAUUUCUUCUCUCUGCAUCCCAUGUAGCUGAAGCAAUUUUACAGCUGUUGUUACACUGCGCAGGAUCUCUUCACAGUAUUAAUUGCCAGAUGAGAUAAUACAGUUCAAGCCUUACAUACUUCACUAAAAUAAAUCCUAAAGUUUUUCACUCCUGGUUACACACUGUUCAUACCAAUGAGGAUGCUUUGGAGAGCAGGCCUGGGCUUACAGGAGGCAGCCACAGAUGAGCAGGAAUGAUGGCUCCUUCCACAGGUAAACCUGUACAGGAGAAGCUGCAAGGUGGAGGCCAAAGGAAAGUCCAACGGCCCAAGGUGGGAGGAAUAUGUGAGAUGUGAUGAAGGUGGAGCCAAAUGGUAUUUUUCAGGUUAAUGCUAAUAGCUGUGAGUUGUGCAUUGCAACACCUGCAAGAUCUCUGCUGAAUGAAGCUGUUCCAUGCUCUGCAUUAUAUUAAUGGUCGUCCUCUUUGUUUCCAGCUCUGUGGGCUCUGAGGGGAGCAGUUGAUGCUUGCAGGCUUUCAGUACCUCUCACAUGAGCAGCUCCCAUGCUCAUUUUUAACCUGUCCGGCAUCCCUGGAGGGGGUGGCAGUGCCAGGUCUCUGGUGGUGCCCAGGGUGGGGAGGACACUCCUGCCCUCAGCCUUGGGGUGACCCUCCUGCCCAGGUGCGUGACAAACUGCCUGCCUGUGUGCAGCUUCACACAAUGCUGCCAAAAUUCCUCAUCUUGACAGCAUCACCCUCUGCUCUCAUUACUUUAGAAACAGAAAUUGUCCAUACCAACUUUUUAGAGUGACACCUGAAGGGAAAUGCAUGUUAUGUUACACACUGUUAUUAAGUGCCUCAGGCACCAGCAAUCUUUUUUCCUGCCAGCAUUGAUUCAUUAAGCAGCAUACAGAAGUACAACAGUGACUGGUAUUAGUUUAUAUCUCCCUUGCUAACCAGACUCUAAUUUGUCUUAUUCAUUUUUAUUUCCAGUGUUUUGCAUUGCUGUAAUGAAGAACAAAUAGCACAGGAGAAAAAGCACCUUCAGAGCUGUAGCUUUUUGGCUUGUGCAUUUCUACUGGGCCCAAGUGGUUCACUGAUAGGACUUUUAUAUAUUGCAAAUUCAAAAAGAAAGACUUCUUGGUCUAAAAAUUGUCUUGAUUUAAAUGGGAUCUCAAAUUGAGAAUAAAUUUCUCAAGUUUAAGCACUUUCAAGAGUUGCAGGCAUUGUACCUGGUAUGUACAGAGGUGUCCAGGGCCUUGGAAAGCUUAUGUAGAAGCAUAGGCAGGGAAAAUAGAUAAACUAGAUAAAGAAAACAGCCAAAAAAAGACAUAAUGAGAAAUGUUGAACAUUGUACUCCCUCCCCACAAGAGAAAACUGCUUAGAUGUCACGAGCAGCCCAGUUUGGCUCAGCUGGAGUGAGGUGGGGUGCACAAGGCUCCUGGGCUGCCUUACACAGAGCCUGCAAAUAAAAGCUGCGGUCCCUUGGUUUUCACAGGGCCGUGCAACACUUCGUGUUUACAGUUGAUCACCUUUGUGUUUGUGUCAAACCUCAUGGAAACAGAAUUAAAAAUAAACUAAAGUAAACCACUCGAUGUACAGAGCGAGGCGUGGGACCGCUCAGGGCUUGCGGUGGAGAUGGACUGGCGGCCCCAGUGCACAGGAAGGCUGAACUGCCAAAAUGCUGCCUGGCCCAGGGUGGAUUUUUACAUCUCGCUGGACAUUUUUCUCAGCCAGUUGUGUGGAAUUUCCUAUGUUUCUGCCCUCUUCUCUGUGUUACACCUGUGGUGAUUGUGCAGGAGGAGAAGUGGCAAAAAGCUCAUCCAACCAGGAGCCCCAGUGCCUCAACCCUGUACACCUUCCACAGCAUGAACACUUUCAAAAAUGCCUUUUUUAUUUUAAAGCCACGUCCGGGUUUGUUGCUGGGCUCUGUGGUGCUGCCCCAGGGCUCUCAGUGCCCUGUGCCAAGAGUGGCUGGGUGGUGGCAAUGGCCCCUCUGCCCUCAGGGCUUGGACCCCAUAACAUUUCUUUGCUUGUCCUGUCAGAAAUUACCCCCCACUCUCCUUCUGCUCACAUCCUGAAUUUUUAAGUGUCUUCAGAGAGUAAUGACUUCAGAGCAGCUCCUGAAAAGAAGCCUGAGAUUAACACUGCAACAGCAGUAAAAGUGAUGCACUAACCUCUAAUAAAGUUUAAGUGCCCUGUUAACCAAA